GCGGAGUACGGUCGCAAGACCGAAACUCAAAGGAAUUGAUGGGGGCCUGCACAAGCGGUGGAGCAUGUGGUUUAAUUCGAUACAACACACAAAACCUUACGAGCCCUUGACAUAUGAACAACAAAACCUGUCCUUAACAGGAUGGUACUGACUUUCAUACAGGUUUUGCAUGGCUGUCGUCAUCUCGUGUCGUGAGAUGUUUGGUCAAGUCCUAUAAUGAGCAAAACCCUCAUUUUUUGUUGCUGAGACAUGCGCCUAAGGAGAAAUUGCCACCGAGUGACGUGCCAGUGCUACUACUUGAUUGAGUGCCAGCACGUAGCUGUGCUUUCAGCAAGAAUUUCACCAUUGGGAGCUGGUGCCUUUCGAAGCACUUUCCCGUGUGAACCGAAGUCGUCUUGCCCAAGACCCACGGAGACCUACCUAUAGUGACGUCAAAGUACCAAUGAGCAUGGAGGCUUGGUUGAAAUUGGUUACGACGAUGUCGAGUUGGCGGCGGAGGAAGACUCGGCAUGAAGGCAAAAAAAUGGUGUGGAACGUAGUGGUAAUAGUACGCGCCCCGCUCCGAAACAAAGAAAAAGGUGCGUGCCGCACUCACGAGGGAUUGCCAGUGAGAUACUGGAGGAAGGUGGGGAUGAAGUCAAGUCCGCAUGGCCCUUAUGGGCUGUGCCACACACGUGCUACAAUGGCAAUGACAAUGGGAAGCAAGGCUGUAAGGCGGAGCGAAUCCGGAAAGAUUGCCUCAGUUCGGAUUGUUCUCUGCAACUCGAGAACAUGAAGUUGAAAUCGCCAGUAAUCGUGGAUCAGCAUGCCGCGGUGAAUAUGUAGCCAGGCCCUGUACACACUGCCCAUCACACACUGGGAAUUGGUUUUGCCUGAAGCAUCGGACCAAUGAUCACCCAUGACUUCUGUGUACCACUAGUGCCACAAAGGCCUUUGGUGGUCUUAUUGGCGCAUACCACGGUGGGGUCUUUGACUGGGGUGAAGUCGUAACAAGGUAGUCGUAGGGGUACCUGUGGCUG
rnacentral:rRNA from 1 species